UUCCUACGGGAGGCAGCAGUAGGGAAUCUUCGGCAAUGGGCGAAAGCCUGACCGAGCAACGCCGCGUGAAUGAAGAAGGCCUUCGGGUUGUAAAAUUCUGUUAUAAGGGAAGAAAGGUGAUAGGAGGAAAUGACUAUCAAUUGACGGUACCUUAUGAGAAAGCCACGGCUAACUACGUGCCAGCAGCCGCGGUAAUACGUAGGUGGCAAGCGUUAUCCGGAAUGAUUGGGCGUAAAGGGUGCGUAGGCGGCCUGCUAAGUCUGGAGUGAAAGGUACCGGCUCAACCGGUACAGGCUCUGGAAACU
rnacentral:rRNA from 1 species